UCCCUGGUGGUCCAGUGGCUAAGAUUCUGUGCUCCCAAUGCAGGGGCCCUGGGUUCAAUCCCUGGUUAGGGAA
rnacentral:tRNA from 1 species